ensembl:lncRNA
CAAUUUAAUACUUUGGGCCUUUUUAAAAAAAAAAAAAAAUCAAAAGACUAGGACCUUCCUUGGCCCCCUGAAGUUUUAGGUUUUCAGAUGCUCCGAGAUUCAAUCUGUGCAUUUUCUUGGCAUCUGUUUUUUCCAGGCAGUAUAUUACCACUAUAAAGUAGCCUGAACAGUGGGGUCUUCCCAACUGGGGGCCCACUUCAAAGGCAAUGUUUGAAGUCCCCUGAUGCUGACUGUGGCUGAAAGGGCUUAUUGUUAUGUUUAGUUUAUUAAUUACUUUAAACAGAAAAAAUAAAAGAUAAUUAUCUUCUAAAUAAAGUUCUCAGCCUGUCUUCCUUCUUUAACAUUUUCCAAUCUUCGGUCUUUUUUUUUUUUUCCAGUCAUACACCAGUAACUUUAGUUCUAAAUACUGGUGUGAUAUAAUUAUGUAACGCCUUUUAAGCUGGAGAUAUGUAGCUGUCUUGCAAAGGCACAUUGCUGUUUUCUCCUAUAUUUAGAAAACAAAAAUUUAGAAAGUAAGGGCAAGCAAUCCAUUCAACCAGCAUUAUACCAUGAGGUGUGGAUGGAGAGAGCAAGAGAAUCCAGAUUUCUUAUUCAAUUUCAUCAGGAAAUUGAAGGAAUAUUCUUCCCAGAACACUGGCAACUCUGGAAUCCCCCUGAAAUCUGAAGAGUGUCCUGCUUUCUCACAAACCAAACAUCCCACCCAGUUUUACUUGCAAUUAGCUAUUUCACCCCAACCACAGCUUGCUUUUUUUCCCCAAUUUUCCUCAAAACUAAAGCAAGUCAGAGUCCCGUGGUGUGAAGCAAAACAAAAACACCCCCUAAGUUCAUGUGUUGUCACCAGACAAAAAUUUGCUAAGAACAAGCAGAAAUGAGGAGUUAAUGGAUUCCAUAUGUGGUCACUAACCUAGCUUUAUGAGAUUUUCCAAGAGAUUUCUGAAGAAAUUCCUGGAGCACAAAACAAGAUCAAACACCCACUUUUCCUGUCAAACAGGACAAGGAAUGUUCAAUCCAUAGUUACCCCUGCAUUUACCUCAGUAAACAUGGGAAGAAACUUUGGCGGCAGUGUCUGCUUUGCAAGGAGCCGAGGGCCUUGUGUGGUACCCCAGAGCAGGAAAACAUCGCAAGAUAGAGUCUGCUUCCUCACAGCACGAGGGGACCAGCCCUGCGAGCCUCCUGCCUGGUACCAAAUUCAUCUCAGAGGGGAGGGCCGAUCAACCAAAGGUGGUAACUGUGGAAUUUUCUUCAUCCAGCAAGACUGCCCCCGAAUGCAAAAAGAACAAAGUGUCAAUCGGCUCCUUGUCUCUUCAGACUUCAUUCAGUGGUCACAGAGGUAUUUCCUCUGCACAUAUUUUCGUUCAGCAGUGUGGUUUCUGGCCCAGUGACUGUGGCUAUAAUGGUUAGCUUAGCCUUAACCACAUUAGGGCCCGGGUUAGGGAGAAGAUUUCUUGUUGUUCUUAUUGUUUUUGUUGUCGUUGCUGGAGUUGAGGCAGGGCAGCUGCUGGGGUUAAACACGGUUUCCAUUGUUAUUGUUUUCUUUCUCCCUUUGUGUGUCCUGAACUCUGAAUGGCAGAAAUGAGAGCCCCACUUUUGUUAGUGGAGUGGCUUCUGUGAGCAAAUUCCAACCACUGGAAUGUUUCGUGAGCUGCAAAGACAACCGCAAGAGUCUUGGAAAUUUGUCUGUGGAGUGUAUGGCUGGGGCCCCCUUGCCAUGUCCCUCCUCCCUUCCAAGUGGAAAUAACAGCCAUAGGACAGGUGGGAGAGGAGUGGAUGGGAGCAAAUCAGGAAGAGAGGGCACCUAGCUGAGCUGUCCAGCCACAAGAAAUUUGUGCUUUGGGGUAAAAUAAUGUCCCCGUUAACCAAGGGUGCACAACAUAGAGCACACUGGCAGCAGGGUCCCAAGCAGCUGGCGAGGCUUGGAGCUGCUCCCUGAUAGUGAGAGGGGGCUGGCUACCCCAGGACAGGUUCAUGGAAGAGGGGAGCUGCCUGGGGCCACUUGGGGAGGAGUUGGAAGGUUCACCCGGGGAGGACGAGGCCACGUGAUCUGCAGAGAUAAUGGAGCCUUCAGCUUGACAUCUGAGCCUUGAGUCUCCAGGUGGAGCAGUAUUCUUGCUGGGAGGGGAGACAGUAAUUGUUUUUAGCAUGACAGAUAAGACAUUCCUGCUUCCCUGAUCCCCCGCAUCUGGGAAACUAGCUAAAUAUUUAAAUGAAGGCAUGCAAAGUUUCUAGCUUCUCUCCACUUCCUCCUUCAAGAUCACUCUUAAAUAAGAAGACCCUGCCUUCUUAAUUUUACACUAUGAUAGAAUUAAACAAGAUGAUGCAGGAGAAGCAGAGCCAAGAACAGUAAAGUGCAGAAUUCAGAGCCUUUCUCCCCUGCCUUCCUGAGAGGAUGCUUUAUGCUGCUGAUUGGCUGCUGGCUUGACUGAGCUAAUUGAAGGUAAGGGGCUGCCCUUAAGAGAAAAAAAAAAAUCUGAAAAAUGGGAAAACAAGGGGAAACCUGAGCCAGGGGACCAGUAAGGGAUGGAAAUUGGGGGGCAGGUGGUAGGGGGAAGUGGCAGAGACACAUUGAGACAGUGUGGCAGUUUGAGGAUAAAAAGAAGAUGUUUAGGAAUCUUUUAAGUAUGUUAGAUCCUAAAAUUGUCCCUUUGCAAUGUUUAGUGAAGAACAAAAUAUUGCAUUUUAACACAUAUGUAUGAAAUCUAGAAAGAUGGUACUGUUGCCCUAUGUGCAGGGCAACAAUGGAGACACAGACAGAACAGAUUUGUGGACACAGGCCAGGGAAGGAGAGGGUGGGGUGAAUUAAGGGAGUAGCACUGAAACAUCUGCGUUAUCAUAUGUAAAAUGAGCCAGGGAAACUGUGCUGUAGGACAAUGGGAGCUCAAAUCCAGUGCUCUGUGACAACCUAGUGGGCGGGGUGGCAGGAGCGGGGAAUGAGGGGGAGUGAGACAUGUAUCCCUGUGGCUAAUUCCAUGUUGAUAUAUGUCAGAAACCAAUACAAUACUGUAAAGCAAUUAUCCUCCAAUUUAAAGUUUCAAAAAGUGUUUUUAAAAUAAAAGGUUUUUUCAGAGCACUUAGGAGUCCGUUUCUUUUUUUAGAUGCAUUAUCUUUCAGAGACAAAUCCUAACCCUAGAAGGUAGACAUUAGGUUAGAUAGAAGGAAAAGAUAGAUUGAUAUAGAUAAGAGACCUAGCAAAUGUGGGCCCAGUUAUCUAAUUUACACCUAAACAGUCAUUUCACCUGUCUUAAUUUCAUGCUCUCCUGCCAAAUCGCUUCAGUCGUGUCCAACUCUGUGCAACCCCCUAGACAGCAGCCCACCAGGCUCCCCCGUCCCUGGGAUUCUCCAGGCAAGAACACUGGAGUGGGUUGCCAUUUCCUUCUCCAAUGCAUGAAAGUGAAAAGUGAAAGUGAAGUCGUUCAGUCCUGUCUGACUCUCAGUGACCUCACGGACUGCAGCCCACCAGGCUCCUCAGUCCAUGGGAUUUUCCAGGCAAGAGUACUGGAGUGGGGUGCCAUUGCAUUCUCCGAUUUCAUGCUCUACUCCCUUAAAAGAAACACAAUUGUUCCAAACCCAUUUGCUGUAAAUUUCCAUGGUUUUCAACUCUUUUCAUUUCCAUAUCUAUUCAUCUUUUUUUGUGAUUCUCCUUUCCCUUUUCCAUGAAUCUUUGUUGCUUUUUAUCAUGUCUUUCUUUUCUACCACCUUUUGGGGCAGCCUCUCUUUGUAAACUCCUAGGAUUCAGCUCUAUAGUGCACAUCAAGUCUACAACCUGCCUUUUGUAUUGCAGAAACUCUCAGCCCUAGGAGUGUUGUGAUGUGUUUUGCUUUCUUCUUUCCUGGCAGCCAUGCUCCUUGUCUCUGUAGACAUGGAGUCCUGAGCUGGGACCUCUGGAUGCUAGAGGGUCAAUCCCGAUGCCUGUCCUUUGAUUUUUGCCUCUCUGAACCCUGUAUAUUCUCUUCAUUCUUCCAGAAACUAUCAAUGAUUUUUUUUUCUUCACAAGACCCCUCUUUCUAUUGCAAUACUUCUCCUUCAGCCCCUGCAAUUCUGGUGGAACUGGCAAUCCUAUCCUUAAUAGUGCAUCACUCAGGGCUAGCCAAUCAUAGCAUUUUAUCCCUCCUAAACUGCAAGGAUUGGUUCAAGGUGAGCCAUCUGACCCAAGUUGUGCAGGAGUAUCCAAUGAACUUAAAUAGUUAGAUACUGUCUCCUGGGAUUGAGUACUGUGAGAACACUGUAAAUUAGAACUACCUGCAGCUAUCUUUUCUAACUCCAUGGAGAAAGAUACAUACAACAAGAGGAUAAUAUCCCUGGAAUAACCCUUAAGCAAUAAACAGUGGGAGUAGUAUAACUGAGGCUCCGCUUCCAGUGGCAGGGUCUGGGGAAGGGGCGGCAGGCGCCAUGUCGGGCCACGAAGGUGGCAAGAAGAAGCCCCUGAAGCAGCCCAAGAAGCAAGCCAAGGAGACGGACAUUUCCACUCAAGGACAAGGACAAGGAGGAAGAUAAGGCAUUCAAGCAGAAGCAGAAGGAGGAGAAGAAGAAGCUCGAGGAGCUAAAAGCAAAGGCCGCAGGGAAAGGCCCCUUGGCCACCGGUGGAAUUAAGAAAUCUGGCAAAAAGUAAGCUGUUCCUUGUGCCUGAGGCAAUGAUAACCCUUAAUUCCAUUCCUGUUUAAACCCCUGGAUUCCCUGCCAUAAUAUCUGUUGCCACCUAUAGCUAGAAUGAAGUGUUGUCUUGGAACCUAUUGUACAUUUAAGAAUAAACUUUUGUAAACAAAAAAAAAAGUAAAAAAAAAUAAAAGUAUAAUUGAGUUACAAUAUUUGUGUUAGUUUCAGGUGUGUAGCAAAGUGAUUUGAUGAUAUAUACACAUAUAUGUUUAUACAUAUGUAUUUUGUUUUAAAUUCUUUUCCAUUAUAGAUUAUUAAAGACAAUGAAUACAGUUCCCUGUGCC